AAAAAAAUGUUUCGAUGACAUCUCCAUGUAUCUGAGGCCACGCCUUCUGGUCUUUGGAAGCCUUAAUGAUUCAAGUCAUUACAAUACACCUCGGGUCAUUAAGGACUGACCUGAGGAACACGCCCAUGCACACACACACACACACACACACACACACACACACACACACACACACACACACACACACACACACGCAUACACACACACACACACACAUGUACAAACGAACACACAAUGCCGAAGGGUAUUUAUGGGCGUCAAGCCAGCGAGCACUUCACAGGCUCUCAAGGCGGUCUCGGGUCAAGAGGUCUCCUGUUCUUGAUUCCCGUAAACAUGAGGACCCCUUUACACACCUGUAUCAUAUGUUCAUGGUGUAAUAAAUACUUCCCGUUGUCCGCACUCGCAGCUCAUAGGGCGGCCUGCCUUCCAGAGGGCCUUGGGACUGGAUCGAAAGAUAUAUCUACUAGAAACAAUGGUAAGUACUUAAAUGUUUGCGUUACUUUAUAUGAUUGUCAUAAAAAACAGUAGCAGAUGUGGAUGACGGGAGGGGGGUAGAGAGCUGGGCAGCAUGGUCAAUAUCGACUUUAGUCUUUCUAUCUUUUUUCAGAAGAGACGUCGUCGACUAGCUCUGAUCGAUCAGAUGUCGGUUUCUCUCAACCAGACCCCAGCGAUAUUGGAAGUUGUUCUCCACGGGCGGGUCUCAGCGACGAAGCCAGUCAAAAUCAAAAGGCUAUCUCCGAAGAAGGCGGGUCUGGUAGGCUCAGCCAUUGGCCCUCCUCUUCAGCGAUCGGUAGUGGACGAAAACGAAAACAAGCGAAUACAGGAACAAACGACACCUGCAGGAAAAAGCAAGCCCGUCGUGAGGGAUUCUCCCAUCCAAACAGUUCUCCACAGCCAGGGCCCAGCGGUUAUAACCCGGGACGGCCGGCAACAACACCCUCACCAACACCCGGUGAAAUAAGCCAACAUUUCAACGGGGCCUUAACAACGAUCGACGUGCCCGUCCCACCAGCAGACAACGGCGACAUUGCAUCAUAUUUCAACAACAACACUGGCCGUCUUCGCGAGGCAGUAGAGUCUGUAUUCCAAGGCUGCCAGCAGGUUAGACUUCCUUCUUUUAAAGUGUACGUUGACAUGCAUCUGCGUUUAGUCAGAGAAGACCCCGACGAUGGAGUUCAAUAUAGAGAUAUGUAUAUGAGAAGUCAUAUGCAGGUAAUUAGCUUUGACGAUAUAGAUUCAUAUGUACGUGAACUAUCCGAAUAUUUUGUUAAUCGGUUUGAACAUGACAUAUCAGACGAAGAGGGCAGUGGAUUUACGUUAGAUGAAAUAGUUAGCGUAAAAUUUUCCUUCUCUCUUAUAAUGCUGCACAAUAGUAUUGGAGAGUAUGUGCCCUAUCCU